UUAAGCGACUAAGCGUACACGGUGGAUGCCCUGGCAGUCAGAGGCGAUGAAGGACGUGCUAAUCUGCGAAAAGCGUCGGUAAGGUGAUAUGAACCGUUACAGCCGGCGAUGUCCGAAUGGGGAAACCCAGUGCAAUUCGUUGCACUAUCGUUAACUGAAUACAUAGGUUAACGAGGCGAACCGGGGGAACUGAAACAUCUAAGUACCCCGAGGAAAAGAAAUCAACCGAGAUUCCCCCAGUAGCGGCGAGCGAACGGGGAGCAGCCCAGAGUCUGAAUCAGCUUGUGUGUUAGUGGAACGGUCUGGAAAGUCCGACGGUACAGGGUGAUAGUCCCGUACACCAAAAUGCACAGGCUGUGAACUCGAAGAGUAGGGCGGGACACGUGGUAUCCUGUCUGAAUAUGGGGGGACCAUCCUCCAAGGCUAAAUACUCCUGACUGACCGAUAGUGAACCAGUACCGUGAGGGAAAGGCGAAAAGAACCCCGGCGAGGGGAGUGAAAAAGAACCUGAAACCGUGUACGUACAAGCAGUGGGAGCACCUUCGGGUGUGACUGCGUACCUUUUGUAUAAUGGGUCAGCGACUUAUAUUCUGUAGCAAGGUUAACCGUAUAGGGGAGCCGCAGGGAAACCGAGUCUUAACUGGGCGUUAAGUUGCAGGGUAUAGACCCGAAACCCGGUGAUCUAGCCAUGGGCAGGUUGAAGGUUGGGUAACACUAACUGGAGGACCGAACCGACUAAUGUUGAAAAAUUAGCGGAUGACUUGUGGCUGGGGGUGAAAGGCCAAUCAAACCGGGAGAUAGCUGGUUCUCCCCGAAAGCUAUUUAGGUAGCGCCUCGUGAACUCAUCUUCGGGGGUAGAGCACUGUUUCGGCUAGGGGGUCAUCCCGACUUACCAACCCGAUGCAAACUACGAAUACCGAAGAAUGUUAUCACGGGAGACACACGGCGGGUGCUAACGUCCGUCGUGAAGAGGGAAACAACCCAGACCGCCAGCUAAGGUCCCAAAGUCAUGGUUAAGUGGGAAACGAUGUGGGAAGGCACAGACAGCCAGGAUGUUGGCUUAGAAGCAGCCAUCAUUUAAAGAAAGCGUAAUAGCUCACUGGUCGAGUCGGCCUGCGCGGAAGAUGUAACGGGGCUAAACCAUGCACCGAAGCUGCGGCAGCGACACUAUGUGUUGUUGGGUAGGGGAGCGUUCUGUAAGCCUGCGAAGGUGUGCUGUGAGGCAUGCUGGAGGUAUCAGAAGUGCGAAUGCUGACAUAAGUAACGAUAAAGCGGGUGAAAAGCCCGCUCGCCGGAAGACCAAGGGUUCCUGUCCAACGUUAAUCGGGGCAGGGUGAGUCGACCCCUAAGGCGAGGCCGAAAGGCGUAGUCGAUGGGAAACAGGUUAAUAUUCCUGUACUUGGUGUUACUGCGAAGGGGGGACGGAGAAGGCUAUGUUAGCCGGGCGACGGUUGUCCCGGUUUAAGCAUGUAGGCUGGUUGUCCAGGCAAAUCCGGAUAAUCAAGGCUGAGGUGUGAUGACGAGGCACUACGGUGCUGAAGUAACAAAUGCCCUGCUUCCAGGAAAAGCCUCUAAGCAUCAGGUAACAUUAAAUCGUACCCCAAACCGACACAGGUGGUCAGGUAGAGAAUACCAAGGCGCUUGAGAGAACUCGGGUGAAGGAACUAGGCAAAAUGGUGCCGUAACUUCGGGAGAAGGCACGCUGGUGUGUAGGUGAAGUCCCUGCGGAUGGAGCUGAGACCAGUCGAAGAUACCAGCUGGCUGCAACUGUUUAUUAAAAACACAGCACUGUGCAAACACGAAAGUGGACGUAUACGGUGUGACGCCUGCCCGGUGCCGGAAGGUUAAUUGAUGGGGUUAUCCGUAAGGAGAAGCUCUUGAUCGAAGCCCCGGUAAACGGCGGCCGUAACUAUAACGGUCCUAAGGUAGCGAAAUUCCUUGUCGGGUAAGUUCCGACCUGCACGAAUGGCGUAAUGAUGGCCAGGCUGUCUCCACCCGAGACUCAGUGAAAUUGAACUCGCUGUGAAGAUGCAGUGUACCCGCGGCAAGACGGAAAGACCCCGUGAACCUUUACUAUAGCUUGACACUGAACAUUGAGCCUUGAUGUGUAGGAUAGGUGGGAGGCUUUGAAGCGUGGACGCCAGUCUGCGUGGAGCCAACCUUGAAAUACCACCCUUUAAUGUUUGAUGUUCUAACGUUGGCCCCUUAUCGGGGUUGCGGACAGUGUCUGGUGGGUAGUUUGACUGGGGCGGUCUCCUCCCAAAGCGUAACGGAGGAGCACGAAGGUUAGCUAAUCCUGGUCGGACAUCAGGAGGUUAGUGCAAUGGCAUAAGCUAGCUUGACUGCGAGCGUGACGGCGCGAGCAGGUGCGAAAGCAGGUCAUAGUGAUCCGGUGGUUCUGAAUGGAAGGGCCAUCGCUCAACGGAUAAAAGGUACUCCGGGGAUAACAGGCUGAUACCGCCCAAGAGUUCAUAUCGACGGCGGUGUUUGGCACCUCGAUGUCGGCUCAUCACAUCCUGGGGCUGAAGUAGGUCCCAAGGGUAUGGCUGUUCGCCAUUUAAAGUGGUACGCGAGCUGGGUUUAGAACGUCGUGAGACAGUUCGGUCCCUAUCUGCCGUGGGCGCUGGAGAAUUGAGGGGGGCUGCUCCUAGUACGAGAGGACCGGAGUGGACGCAUCACUGGUGUUCGGGUUGUCAUGCCAAUGGCACUGCCCGGUAGCUAAAUGCGGAAGAGAUAAGUGCUGAAAGCAUCUAAGCACGAAACUUGCCCCGAGAUGAGUUCUCCCUGAGACUUUAAGUCUCCUGAAGGAACGUUGAAGACGACGACGUUGAUAGGCCGGGUGUGUAAGCGCAGCGAUGCGUUGAGCUAACCGGUACUAAUGAACCGUGAGGCUUAACCUU
rnacentral:rRNA from 1 species